GGUUGGAUAGUUCAGGAAUUGGGCUUCUUUUUAUUGUGGGCAGUCCUUUCACUCAGAUGCCCACAUCUCACUGGACCUGUACAUGUGUUGGCUGGCUGGCAUGAGUUGCUGUUGGUGAUGAGGCGGUCAGGGUGACGUUGCAGGGCUAUGGUCGGCUCUCUGAGCUCAACGUUUAGAUUUGCUCUGCAUGGUUUGUACCCUGAAUAAUCUAGAUAAUUGUAAAAUGUACAGGGUUUUGUAUUGAAUGAUUUUAGGUUUAAAGUUGUUGUGGGUCGUACAUGGUAGUUUGGUUCUUCGUACGGUUUUGAGUGAUAUAACUUGUACACACUGGGUGCAUAAUAAUGUAAAGGUACACUGAAUAUUAAUGACCAACAGCAACAAACAGAUCACAUCAAGGUAAGUCUGUUGGCUGUGUUUUAAUGAAGACCAUCGCUGGACUUCAGGAUCUUCCUCCGUUCAGCUCAAGGUGAGGCGCUGGUUCCGUUUUUUCUUUGGUUGGUUCCGGCCGGAAUGUUCGUAUUCCAGUCGGACAGUUUGUGCUUCCCGCCGUGGAAGGUUCUGAGUGCGGUCACUUAUUUAGUCCCAAUGGUUAGCAUAGAACGUUGUAGCCUUGACAACCAUAAGAAACCACCUGGCAGUUAGUUGGACGGGAGUCCCCUGAGGGAUUCUGGCGGAACGUUCUGGAUUGUAUUUGCGUAACCUCGAGCCGUUGCCAACGGAAACUAUUUUUCAGUCUUUUCCAUUGGGAAUUGUUGUCCCUUAUCUUAAACUUAAUUUUGAUAUUAAAUACAUACUGACACGUACGUCGUACAAUAUGUUGAUAAUUUCCGAUGGUUGCGCCGUACUUUUAACCACGUUGACGUGAAGGGACUCUCGCUGCGUACUAAACAGCGUUCUACUUGCGGGCCCAUUUUGGUGAAGGCUGAAAAUCAUUUCAAGGUGGAAGACAAUUUGACAUUUCUUCAACGGAACCCAGCACCUGAAUAUGGCUGAGUUGAGUAUAUUUGGUUUAACAUCGAUACGGCUUAGUGUUCUUUGUUCAGCUUUUGUACGUUCUAAAUAUCUGCUGUCAUUAAUUGCCACAGAAGUUAAACCCUACCCAAUGGAAUGACGUUAAACAACGACUUUGGUGCAGAGUUACCAACGGGAUAAUAUCAAAGCUAAAAUAAUGGCCGUCCUUCCCACAUGUUACAGUAGAAGAUACUCUAGAACUGUACAAGGUUAAAAAGGUAACAUGUAGUUUGUCCCAAGGUGUCUGCCUCCUCACCCAGAGCCAGAACGCCACCUCCUGUCAGAAGUCCUCCAGAACAGCUGAAAGGUGAGGCUGGGUACCGGAGGCUUGUGGUGCCAGGAUGGACCGGAGACUGAGGCUGGAGACCAGGGGCCUGCAGCGCCGGGCCAGAGGACCAGGAAUCCAUGGCUGAAGGAGCUGAUGGAGGAGCCGUGCUGAAGGAGCUGAUGGAGUCGUGCUGAAGGCCCUGCCUGGUUGAGGAGCUGGUGGAGGCCCUGCCUGGUGAAGGAGGCCCUGCCUG